rnacentral:tRNA from 1 species
GCAGUGGUGGCUCAGUGGUAGAAUUCUUGCCUUCCACGCGGGAGACCAGGGUUCAGUUCCUGGCCAGUGCA